rnacentral:misc_RNA from 1 species
CAACCCUCGAGCCCGACUCUCCGGAGGACGGCUCGGCGUUGGGGACCGGCAGACUGCCCCCCGCCUCCGGGUGGGGGACGCCGGCCCCGAAAUCUAGUGGCGGCCCUUCGCGGCGACCUCUGCGUAGUAACUCACCUCGCACUGGGAAGACCGAAGCGGCCACGCCGUUAAACACCCAACUUUUUUCA